rnacentral:rRNA from 1 species
UACAGAGGUCCCAAGCGUUGUUCGGAUUCACUGGGCGUAAAGGGUGCGUAGGCGGUCAGGUAAGUCUGAUGUGAAAUCUCUGGGCUUAACCCAGAAAUGGCAUUGGAUACUAUUUGGCUUGAGAGUUGGAGGGGGGACUGGAAUUCUUGGUGUAGCAGUGAAUGACGUAGAUAUCAAGAGGAACACCAGUGGCGAAGGCGAGUCCCUGGACAACUCUGACGCUGAGGCACGAAAGCUAGGGGAGCAAACAGG